rnacentral:rRNA from 1 species
UGGAGGAAAGCAGGGGAUCGUAAGACCUUGCGCUUUUGGAGCGGCCGAUGUCUGAUUAGCUAGUUGGUGGGGUAAUGGCCUACCAAAGCUUCGAUCAGUAGCUGGUCUGAGAGGACGGCCAGCCACACUGGGACUGAGACACGGCCCAGACUCCUACGGGAGGCAGCAGUGGGGAAUUUUGGACAAUGGGCGCAAGCCUGAUCCAGCCAUGCCGCGUGAGUGAAGAAGGCCUUCGGGUUGUAAAGCUCUUUCAGCCGGGAAGAAAAGGCUGCGAUUAAUAAUCGCAGUUCAUGACGGUACCGGAAGAAGAAGCACCGGCUAACUACGUGCCAGCAGCCGCGGUAAUACGUAGGGUGCGAGCGUUAAUCGGAAUUACUGGGCGUAAAGGGUGCGCAGGCGGUUUUGUAAGUCAGAUGGGA